CCCAGGUUCUGUAAUCUUUAGUAAAUGUAGUUAAAUAUUUUUUCUUUAGCAUCAUAAAAAGUAAGUGUCUUCUAAGUAUUCUUUUGUUCAAAACUUUCGGAGAAAUUCUGGGGAAUUAAUGCCAUCCUCUUUCCGCAUUUCCUUAAUUCUGUUACGCAUGGAGCAGAUGGAAGCAUCCAGAUGGGACCUAAAGAGCAUGUGUUCCCCUUCUUCACCAAUAUCUGAGGGCAUGACCCUAUCCCCAACAGAAAUCUUGGGUGUUCAUGCCUGCUCUUGUUGAUCUGUCACAAAGGGAACCUUCUUUUGAGACAGGCUGUCACUCUGUCAUGUAGGCUAGGUACAUUGGCAUGAUCAUGGCUCACUGCAGCCUCAGCAUCCUGGGCCUAAGUGAUUCUCCCAACUCAGUCUCCUAAGUAGCUGGGACCACAAAUGUGUGACAUCAUGUCAGCUAAUCUGUUUUAUUUUUGUAGAGGCAGGGUUUCCCUAUAUUGCACAGGCUGGUCUCAAACUCCUUGACUCAAGAGAUUCUCCCAUCUCAGCUUCUCAAAGUGCUGGGGUUACAGGUGUGAGCCAGCAUGGCUAGCCAAAUGGAACACUUUUAAUAUUGCAUGCAAUACAUUCAUAGUGAGGUUUGGUCAUGGUGUGUAUAAAGCCUGAAUGGAGAGAGUAGAGGGAAGGUUCUGGUAUAUAGAGGAGAGAAAUUUUGCAGAGCUCUUUGACCACCACAGGAAGAAAAGGGGAAAAUGUAGUUGAAAAAAAAAACACAUAGGCAGGAAUAUCACAAGUAGAGAAGCAACGGUUUUUGAAGUUCUAAACAUGUAACAUUCCAGGAGGAAAAGUGGACACAGCCUCUGAACUGGGACACAUUUACCCAAAACCCAGUCAUUUUAUUCUCUUUUUUACUUAUUCUCUGAGAUUCCUUGUCAGGCGAGAUCCUCUGGAAAAAAUAAAACUUG
rnacentral:lncRNA from 1 species